rnacentral:rRNA from 1 species
UAGAGAUAGAGCUUUCCCCUUCGGGGGACAAAGUGACAGGUGGUGCAUGGUUGUCGUCAGCUCGUGUCGUGAGAUGUUGGGUUAAGUCCCGCAACGAGCGCAACCCUUAAGCUUAGUUGCCAUCAUUAAGUUGGGCACUCUAGGUUGACUGCCGGUGACAAACCGGAGGAAGGUGGGGAUGACGUCAAAUCAUCAUGCCCCUUAUGAUUUGGGCUACACACGUGCUACAAUGGACAAUACAAAGGGCAGCUAAACCGCGAGGUCAUGCAAAUCCCAUAAAGUUGUUCUCAGUUCGGAUUGUAGUCUGCAACUCGACUACAUGAAGCUGGAAUCGCUAGUAAUCGUAGAUCAGCAUGCUACGGUGAAUACGUUCCCGGGUCUUGUACACACCGCCCGUCACACCACGAGAGUUUGUAACACCCGAAGCCGGUGGAGUAACCAUUUAUGGAGCUAGCCGUCGAAGGUGGGACAAAUGAUUGGGGUGAAGUCGUAACAAGGUAGCCGUAUCGGAAGGU